CGUGCAGGCGGGCCGGCACGUCGGUCGCUGAAAUCCCCCGGCUCAACCGGGGAACGGGCGCCGAUACGACCGGCCUGGAGGGGGGUAGGGGGAGCCGGAACUCACGGUGGAGCGGUGAAAUGCGUUGAGAUCGUGAGGAACGCCCGUGGCGAAAGCGGGCUCCUGGACCUUGCCUGACGCUGAGACGCGAAAGCCAGGGGAGCGAACG
rnacentral:rRNA from 1 species